GAUCAUGGCUCAGGAUGAACGCUGGCGGCGUGCCUAACACAUGCAAGUCGAGCGAUUCUCUUCGGAGAAGAGCGGCGGACGGGUGAGUAACGCGUGGGUAACCUGCCCUGUACACACGGAUAACAUACCGAAAGGUAUGCUAAUACGAGAUAAUAUGCUUUUAUCGCAUGGUAGAAGUAUCAAAGCUCCGGCGGUACAGGAUGGACCCGCGUCUGAUUAGCUAGUUGGUAAGGUAACGGCUUACCAAGGCGACGAUCAGUAGCCGACCUGAGAGGGUGAUCGGCCACAUUGGAACUGAGACACGGUCCAAACUCCUACGGGAGGCAGCAGUGGGGAAUAUUGCACAAUGGGCGAAAGCCUGAUGCAGCAACGCCGCGUGAGCGAUGAAGGCCUUCGGGUCGUAAAGCUCUGUCCUCAAGGAAGAUAAUGACGGUACUUGAGGAGGAAGCCCCGGCUAACUACGUG
rnacentral:rRNA from 1 species